UAGGGAAUCUUCGGCAAUGGGGGGAACCCUGACCGAGCAACGCCGCGUGAGUGAAGAAGGUUUUCGGAUCGUAAAGCUCUGUUGUUAAGGAAGAACGAGUGUGAGAAUGGAAAGUUCAUGCUGUGACGGUACUUAACCAGAAAGGGACGGCUAACUACGUGCCAGCAGCCGCGGUAAUACGUAGGUCCCGAGCGUUGUCCGGAUUUAUUGGGCGUAAAGCGAGCGCAGGCGGUUAGAAAAGUCUGAAGUGAAAGGCAGUGGCUCAACCAUUGUAGGCUUUGGAAACUGUUUAACUUGAGUGCAGAAGGGGAGAGUGGCAUUCCAUGUGUAGCGGUGAAAUGCGUAGAUAUAUGGAGGGACACCGGUGGCGAAAGCGGCUCUCUGGUCUGUAACUGACGCUGAGGCUCGAAAGCGUGGGGAGCGAACAGG
rnacentral:rRNA from 1 species